UGCCAACCUGUAACUAACACUAAGGAGGGCAAGUGGCAGAAGCCCUUAUGUGAGUGACAGCCCUUCCCUGAUAAUUAUGUGGACCUGAAAGAGCUGUACUCAGAAAUACCAAUAUUGGACUGGGGUAUUUGAGUUGAGUGUGGUGAUCCAUCAGCUGCGUGGUGUCUAUGUUUUUGUGGUUAUCUGAUGUUACAUGGACAAAGGGUUUCUGGGUUUCUGGUCUCCCACUGGACUUCUGGGACUGGCCUGGCUUCUUCACUGACUGCAUAUGUUUUAUUUGAUCUUGAUUAGAGGUGAAGGGUGGAAGUAGAGUGGGCAUGUCCGGUGGGCUGACUUGAAGAGCCUGUAGUCUUCAUUACUUUCAUCUAUGGCUGUUUGCUAGUGUCGAAGACCCUGACAGUCUGUCAGCACUGACACCAUCUGUGCUGUGUUAGUCUUCACGCUGUUAGGCCACCUCAUCUGCUUUCACUGUGGCACCAAUGCUGCCGUUGUAGCCAUCACAUUGUCCUUGAACACGGCCAUCAUUGCUUCUGUCUGCCUGUCCUCAUGCCUUCCCUGGUCCCUGUAUGCCUUCAUCAUGGUGACAUUUGCCAUCCAGAUUUUUGCCCCAUGGCCCAUGUUACAGGAGAAACUGAAGGCAUGUGCUCUCCCCAGCUGUGUGGGUGUCACACUGCUCUUUGAGUUUUCAGCCUUGAGAGGCCUGCGGUCCUAUAGUGCAUGGAGUCAUCCUCUUCGUCCUUCUCUAGUUUCUAUCUCAUGUCUCUGUCCUUUCUACCUCAUUCACCUGCAGCUUUUUAAAGAAACCAGUCAUGGGCCUUAGGAUGAAGUUGAAAUC
rnacentral:lncRNA from 10 species